rnacentral:rRNA from 1 species
GUCUACGGCCACGCCACCCUGAACAAGCCCGAUCCCGUCUGAUCUCAGAAGCUAAGCAGGGUCGGGCCUGGUUAGUACUUGGAUGGGAGACCACCCAGGAAGACCAGAUGUAGGCGUAAAUA